CCUACGGGAGGCAGUAGUGGGGGAUAUUGCACAAUGGGGGAAACCCUGAUGCAUCUACUCCUCUUUAUUUAAUAAUUAUUUCUUUAUUUAAAUCUCUAUCAGCAGUUAAGAAAAUGACAGUACCUGACCAAGAAGCCCCGGCUAACUACGUGCCAGCAGCCGCGGUAAUACGUAGGGGGCCAGCGUUAUCCGGAUUUACUGGGUGUAAAGGGAGCGUAGACGGUUAUGUAAGUCUGGAGUGAAAGCCCGGGGCCCAACCCCGGGACUGCUUUGGAAACUGUGUAACUGGAGUACAGGAGGGGCAGGCGGAAUUCCUGGUGUAGCGGUGAAAUGCGUAGAUAUCAGGAGGAACACCGGCGGCGAAGGCGGCCUGCUGGACUGAAACUGACGUUGAGGCUCGAAAGCGUGGGGAGCAAACAGGAUUAGAGACCCCAGUAGUC
rnacentral:rRNA from 1 species